rnacentral:rRNA from 1 species
UACGUAGGGUGCAAGCGUUGUCCGGAAUUAUUGGGCGUAAAGAGCUCGUAGGCGGUUUGUCGCGUCUGCUGUGAAAACCCGAGGCUCAACCUCGGGCCUGCAGUGGGUACGGGCAGACUAGAGUGCGGUAGGGGAGAUUGGAAUUCCUGGUGUAGCGGUGGAAUGCGCAGAUAUCAAGAGGAACACCAAUGGCGAAGGCAGAUCUCUGGGCCGUAACUGACGCUGAGGAGCGAAAGCAUGGGGAGCGAACAGG